rnacentral:rRNA from 1 species
UGGGGAAUUUUGCGCAAUGGGCGAAAGCCUGACGCAGCAACGCCGCGUGGGUGAUGAAGGUCUUCGGAUCGUAAAACCCUGUCGUCAGGGACGAAGGUCGGGGGGUGAACAGCCCCUUGGCUUGACGGUCCCUGGAGAGGAAGCCACGGCUAACUCUGUGCCAGCAGCCGCGGUAAUACAGAGGGGGCAAGCGUUAUUCGGAAUUAUUGGGCGUAUAGGGCGCGUAGGCGGUGUCUUAAGUGGGAUGUGCAAUCCCCGGGCUUAACCGGGGAACUGCAUCCCAGACUGGGACGCUGGAGUACGGGAGAGGGGUGUGGAAUUCCACGUGUAGCGGUGAAAUGCGUAGAGAUGUGGAGGAACACCAGUGGCGAAGGCGGCCACCUGGACAGUAACUGACGCUGAGGCGCGAAAGUGUGGGUAGCAAACA